rnacentral:rRNA from 1 species
AUGGGUCGUUCCUUCUGUGCUGGAGGCUAUCGAUGGGCUCUCAAGUUGUGUCCCAAUGGUGAUCGCAUGGAGACUGCUGGUUUUAUCUCUGUUUUUCUUGUCCUUCACGAGGAUGUUGCGCUGCCCCUAAAUGCGCAUUGGCAGUUUAGCUUCGUCGAUCAGGUUGACGGGCACGAGCUUGCAUGCAUCCGCGCAACCAACAUAGGUGAUUUCUCUAAAAGUGGUCAUGGCUGGGGUCACUAUCGUUUCAUCAAAAGAGAGGACCUCGAAAAGUCGGAGCAUCUCAAGAAUGAUUGUUUCACCAUCCGGUGCGACUUUAUCAUCACCCAAGCCGUUGAUACUUUCAUCGAGGUGCCGUCAUCCAACAUAUGCGACCAUCUGAACCAUCUUUUAGUGACGAAGCUCGGUGCCGAUGUGAAGUUCGAGGUUGGCAGCGAGACGUUCGACGCGCACCGGUGCGUGCUCGCGGCCCGUUCUGCCGUCUUCAGGGCUGAACUCUUCGGCCCCAUGAAGGAGGGAACCACGGCUGAUGCCAUACAAAUACAAGAUAUUGAACCCAAUGUAUUCAAGGCUUUGCUAGGUUUCAUCUACACCGACUCAAUGCCGAAGAUGGAUAUGGGAGGAGUAGCAGGAGAAGCCGGAGCUGAUGUUCUGUGGAUGGAACAAUUGCUUGUGGCGGCAGACAAGUAUGAUCUCCAACGACUAAAGUCGAUGUGUGAAGACAGGCUGUUGAAACACAUAAAUUUGAGCUCGGUGUCGGCCAUCCUUGGUGUAGCUGCGCAACACCAUUGCCACGAACUGAAAGAGGCCUGCCUGGAGUUACUCAAACUCCAGUCGGCUGACGGCUUACGAGAUGUCAUGGCGACCAGUGACUGGCAGCACAUAUCUACGACCGAUCCCUCCGUUCUGAACGAGCUGAUUACCAAGCUUGCCUUGAAAGCUAAUCCGUAG